UUAAUUGAAGAGUUUGAUCAUGGCUCAGAUUGAACGCUGGCGGCAGGCCUAACACAUGCAAGUCGAGCGGCAGCACAGAGGAACUUGUUCCUUGGGUGGCGAGCGGCGGACGGGUGAGUAAUGCCUGGGAAAUUGCCCGGUAGAGGGGGAUAACCAUUGGAAACGAUGGCUAAUACCGCAUAACCUCGUAAGAGCAAAGCAGGGGACCUUCGGGCCUUGCGCUACCGGAUAUGCCCAGGUGGGAUU
rnacentral:rRNA from 1 species